rnacentral:rRNA from 1 species
GACGAAGGGGGCUAGCGUUGCUCGGAAUCACUGGGCGUAAAGCGCACGUAGGCGGAUCUUUAAGUCAGGGGUGAAAUCCUGGAGCUCAACUCCAGAACUGCCUUUGAUACUGGGGAUCUCGAGUCCGGGAGAGGUGAGUGGAACUGCGAGUGUAGAGGUGAAAUUCGUAGAUAUUCGCAAGAACACCAGUGGCGAAGGCGGCUCACUGGCCCGGUACUGACGCUGAGGUGCGAAAGCGUGGGGAGCAAACAGG